GACGAACGCUGGCGGCGUGCUUAACACAUGCAAGUCGAACGGAAAGGCCCUGCUUGCAGGGUACUCGAGUGGCGAACGGGUGAGUAACACGUGGGUGAUCUGCCCUGCACUUCGGGAUAAGCUUGGGAAACUGGGUCUAAUACCGGAUAGGACCGCACUUUAGUGUGUGUGGUGGAAAGUUUUUUCGGUGUAGGAUGAGCUCGCGGCCUAUCAGCUUGUUGGUGGGGUAAUGGCCUACCAAGGCGGCGACGGGUAGCCGGCCUGAGAGGGUGUACGGCCACAUUGGGACUGUGAUACAGCCCAGACUCCUACGGGGGGCAGCAGUGGGGAAUAUUGCACAAUGGGCGCAAGCCUGAUGCAGCGACGCCGCGUGGGGGAUGAAGGCCUUCGGGUUGUAAACUCCUUUCGCUAGGGACGAAGCUUUGUUGUGACGGUACCUAGAUAAGAAGCACCGGCUAACUACGUG
rnacentral:rRNA from 1 species